rnacentral:rRNA from 1 species
UACGGAGGGUGCAAGCGUUGUCCGGAUUUAUUGGGUUUAAAGGGUGCGUAGGCGGCGCGCUAAGUCAGUGGUGAAAGCCUCCCGCUCAACGGGAGAACUGCCAUUGAUACUGGCGUGCUUGAGUACGGACGAGGUAGGCGGAAUUUAUGGUGUAGCGGUGAAAUGCAUAGAUACCAUAAAGAACACCGAUAGCGUAGGCAGCUUACUAGACCGUAACUGACGCUGAGGCACGAAAGCGUGGGGAGCGAACAGG